rnacentral:tRNA from 1 species
AGAAAUAAAUAUUUUAAGCCGCUAACUUAAAAAAAUUAAUUAACAAAUUAAAUAUUUCUA